rnacentral:rRNA from 1 species
GUAGGUGGCAAGCGUUGUCCGGAAUUAUUGGGCGUAAAGCGCGCGCAGGCGGUUCUUUAAGUCUGAUGUGAAAGCCCACGGCUCAACCGUGGAGAGUCAUUGGAAACUGGAGAACUUGAGUACAGAAGAGGAAAGCGGAAUUCCACGUGUAGCGGUGAAAUGCGUAGAGAUGUGGAGGAACACCAGUGGCGAAGGCGGCUUUCUGGUCUGUAACUGACGCUGAGGCGCGAAAGCGUGGGGGAGCAAACAGGAUUAGAUACCCUGGUAGUCCACGCCGUAAACGAUGAGUGCUAAGUGUUAGGGGGUUUCCGCCCUUAGUGCUGCAGCUAACGCAUUAAGCACUCCGCCAGGGAGUACGGCCGCAAGGCUGA